UAUGGCCAUAUCAUGUUGGAACACCGGCUGUCAUAUGAUAACUGAGUUAAGCAAUGUCAAGCCUGAUUAGUACUAAGAUGGAUGACCACUAGGGAACACCAGGUGCUGUAAG